ACUCCUACGGGAGGCAGCAGUGGGGAAUAUUGCGCAAUGGGCGAAAGCCUGACGCAGCAACGCCGCGUGCGGGAUGACGGCCUUCGGGUUGUAAACCGCUUUCAGCAGGGACGAAGGGUUUCUGACGGUACCUGCAGAAGAAGCACCGGCUAACUACGUGCCAGCAGCCGCGGUAAU
rnacentral:rRNA from 1 species